rnacentral:rRNA from 1 species
AAGGCUGGCCAUACCACCCUGAAGACGCCCAAUCUCAUCUGAUCUCGGAAGCUAAGCAGGGUUGGGCCUGGUUAGUACUUGGAUGGGAGAAAUAGACGUACCCUAU